rnacentral:rRNA from 1 species
CCUACGGGUGGCAGCAGUGGGGAAUAUUGGACAAUGGGCGAAAGCCUGAUCCAGCCAUGCCGCGUGUGUGAAGAAGGCCUUCGGGUUGUAAAGCACUUUCAGUGGGGAAGAAAGCCUUGGGGCUAAUACCCUCGAGGAAGGACAUCACCCACAGAAGAAGCACCGGCUAACUCCGUGCCAGCAGCCGCGGUAAUACGGAGGGUGCGAGCGUUAAUCGGAAUUACUGGGCGUAAAGCGCGCGUAGGCGGUCUGAUAAGCCGGUUGUGAAAGCCCCGGGCUCAACCUGGGAACGGCAUCCGGAACUGUCAGGCUAGAGUGCAGGAGAGGAAAGUAGAAUUCCCGGUGUAGCGGUGAAAUGCGUAGAGAUCGGGAGGAAUACCAGUGGCGAAGGCGGCCUUCUGGACUGACACUGACGCUGAGGUGCGAAAGCGUGGGUAGCAAACAGGAUUAGAUACCCGUGUAGUC